rnacentral:rRNA from 1 species
GAUGAACGCUGGCGGCGUGCUUAACACAUGCAAGUCGAACGGAAAGGCUCCUGCUUGCAGGGGUACUCGAGUGGCGAACGGGUGAGUAACACGUGGGUGAUCUGCCCUGCACUUCGGGAUAAGCCUGGGAAACUGGGUCUAAUACCGGAUAGGACCACAUUUUGGAUGGUGUGGUGGAAAGUUUUUCGGUGUGGGAUGAGCUCGCGGCCUAUCAGCUUGUUGGUGGGGUAAUGGCCUACCAAGGCGUCGACGGGUAGCCGGCCUGAGAGGGUGUACGGCCACACUGGGACUGAGAUACGGCCCAGACUCCUACGGGAGGCAGCAGUGGGGAAUAUUGCACAAUGGGCGCAAGCCUGAUGCAGCGACGCCGCGUGGGGGAUGACGGCCUUCGGGUUGUAAACUCCUUUCGCUAGGGACGAAGCGUUUUUGUGACGGUACCUGGAGAAGAAGCACCGGCUAACUACGUG